GAUAACCUACCUAUAAGACUGGGAUAACUUCGGGAAACCGGAGCUAAUACCGGAUAAUAUUUUGAACCGCAUGGUUCAAAAGUGAAAGACGGUCUUGCUGUCACUUAUAGAUGGAUCCGCGCUGCAUUAGCUAGUUGGUAAGGUAACGGCUUACCAAGGCAACGAUGCAUAGCCGACCUGAGAGGGUGAUCGGCCACACUGGAACUGAGACACGGUCCAGACUCCUACGGGAGGCAGCAGUAGGGAAUCUUCCGCAAUGGGCGAAAGCCUGACGGAGCAACGCCGCGUGAGUGAUGAAGGUCUUCGGAUCGUAAAACUCUGUUAUUAGGGAAGAACAUAUGUGUAAGUAACUGUGCACAUCUUGACGGUACCUAAUCAGAAAGCCACGGCUAACUACGUGCCAGCAGCCGCGGUAAUACGUAGGUGGCAAGCGUUAUCCGGAAUUAUUGGGCGUAAAGCGCGCGUAGGCGGCCCUUUAAGUCUGAUGUGAAAGCCCACGGCUCAACCGUGGAGGGUCAUUGGAAACUGGAAAACUUGAGUGCAGAAGAGGAAAGUGGAAUUCCAUGUGUAGCGGUGAAAUGCGCAGAGAUAUGGAGGAACACCAGUGGCGAAGGCGACCCCCUGGUCUGUACUGACGCUGAUGUGCGAAAGCGUGGGGAUCAAACAGGAUUAGAUACCCUGGUAGUCCACGCCGUAAACGAUGAGUGCUAAGUGUUAGGGGGUUUCCGCCCCUUAGUGCUGCAGCUAACGCAUUAAGCACUCCGCCUGGGGAGUACGACCGCAAGGUUGAAACUCAAAGGAAUUGACGGCCCCCCGCACAAGCGGUGGAGCAUGUGGUUUAAUUCGAAGCAACGCGAAGAACCUUACCAAAUCUUGACAUCCUUUGACAACUCUAGAGAUAGAGCCUUCCCCUUCGGGGGACAAAGUGACAGGUGGUGCAUGGUUGUCGUCAGCUCGUGUCGUGAGAUGUUGGGUUAAGUCCCGCAACGAGCGCAACCCUUAAGCUUAGUUGCCAUCAUUAAGUUGGGCACUCUAAGUUGACUGCCGGUACAAACCGGAGGAAGGUGGGGAUGACGUCAAAUCAUCAUGCCCCUUAUGAUUUGGGCCCCACACGUGCUACAAUGGACAAUACAAAGGGCAGCGAAACCGCGAGGUCAAGCAAAUCCCAUAAAGUUGUUCUCAGUUCGGAUUGUAGUCUGCAACUCGACUACAUGCCCCUGGAAUCGCUAGUAAUCGUAGAUCAGCAUGCUACGGUGAAUACGUUCCCGGGUCUUGUACACACCGCCCGUCACACCACGAGAGUUUGUAAUCAA
rnacentral:rRNA from 1 species